GUCUAUGGCCAUACCACCCUGCAUACGCCCGAUCUCGUCUGAUCUCGGAAGCUAAGCAGGGUUGGGCCUGGUUAGUACUUGGAUCGGAGACCGCUUGGUAAUACUGGGUGCUGUAGGCU
rnacentral:rRNA from 1 species